UAGUGACCCAGAUUGCGGAGAUGGAACGGGACGGCUCGGAAGAAAAGUUUCCAGUUUUUCAUCUGAGAGGAAGAGGAAUCAAAAGCAGGAGCCAGGAUCAGGGCAGGUAGGGGACCUGGACGUGCAUCCACACCCACCAAGGAUGCACUAAACUGGGAAACAUCUGCCGGAGUGUGCCCUUCAACGCUGCGAUGGCCUCAGCGACAUCCAGCCCGGGCCCUGCCUCUCUGGGCUCCCAGGUUCAUGCUGCAGCUGUCAACGGAGAUAGGAGCGCCCUCCUCAAACUCAUCACAG